rnacentral:rRNA from 1 species
GACAGAGGGUGCAAACGUUGUUCGGAAUUACUGGGCGUAAAGGGCGCGUAGGCGGCCUUCUAAGUCGAACGUGAAAUCCCCGGGCUCAACCCGGGAACUGCGUCCGAUACUGGCAGGCUUGAAUCCGGGAGAGGGAUGCGGAAUUCCAGGUGUAGCGGUGAAAUGCGUAGAUAUCUGGAGGAACACCGGUGGCGAAGGCGGCAUCCUGGACCGGUAUUGACGCUGAGGCGCGAAAGCCAGGGGGAGCAAACGGGG